AAUUAUCGAAGUUGAUAGCUUCUAAUCUAUCAAACCUUUUUAACUGGUCAAGUUAUUAAGGGUGCAGGGCGGAUGCCUUGGCACUAGGAGCCGAUGAAGGACGUGAUAAGCUGCGAUAAGCUUCGGGGAGUUGCACGUAAACUUUGAUCCGAAGAUUUCCGAAUGAGGAAACUCACUUAGAGUAAUGUCUAAGUAUCAUUAAGUGAAUACAUAGCUUAAUGAGGGGAACUCAGGGAACUGAAACAUCUAAGUACCUGAAGGAAGAGAAAGAAAUUCGAUUCCGUAAGUAGCGGCGAGCGAACGCGGAUUAGCCCAAACCAAUAAAGUUUUCUUUGUUGGGGUUGCGGACAUAUCAUAACGAAGAGGUAUCGUAAUUGAAGAGGUUUGGAAAGACCCACCACAGAAGGUAAUAGUCCUGUAUGUUAAACGAGAAGACUUCAGAUAUGAUCCAGAGUACCACGGGACACGUGAAACCCUGUGGGAAGCAGGAGGGACCACCCUCCAAGGCUAAAUACUACCUAGUGACCGAUAGCGUAUAGUACCGUGAGGGAAAGGUGAAAAGAACCCCGGGAGGGGAGUGAAAUAGAACCUGAAACCCUGCACUUACAAGCUGUGGAAGCACAUUUCUUGUGUGACCGCGUACUUUUUGUAGAACGGGCCAACGAGUUACGUUAAGUAGCAAGGUUAAGCACUUAAGGUGCGGAGCCGUAGCGAAAGCGAGUUUUAACUGAGCGUUCAGUUACUUGACGUAGACCCGAAACCGGGCGACCUACCCAUGAGCAGGAUGAAGCGAAAGUAAAAUUUCGUGGAGGUCCGAACCCACGAGCGUUGAAAAGCUCGGGGAUGACUUGUGGGUAGCGGUGAAAUUCCAAUCGAGCCCGGAGAUAGCUGGUUCUCCCCGAAAUAGCUUUAGGGCUAGCCUCAAGGUGAGAGAUACGGAGGUAGAGCACUGAAUGUCCUAGGGGGUAUUGCACCUACCGAAGACUAUCAAACUCCGAAUGCCGUCAUCUUAUACUUGGGAGUCAGACUGUGGGUGAUAAGAUUCAUAGUCGAAAGGGCAACAGCCCAGAUCGUCAGCUAAGGUCCCUAAAUGUAAGUUAAGUGGUAAAGGAUGUGGGAUUGCACAGACAACCAGGAUGUUGGCUUAGAAGCAGCCACUCAUUCAAAGAGUGCGUAAUAGCUCACUGGUCGAGUGAUCCUGCGCCGAAGAUUUCCGGGGCUAAAACUUACUACCGAAGCUACGGCAUCAGUAAUGAUGGGUAGGGGAGCUUCCCAUACGGGUUGAAGCAUGACCGUAAGGACAUGUGGACAGUAUGGGAGUGAGAAUGUUGGCAUGAGUAGCGAGAUGUGGGUGAGAAUCCCACAGGCCGUAAACCCAAGGUUUCCAGGGGAAGGUUCGUCCGCCCUGGGUUAGUCGGGACCUAAGCUGAGGCUGAAAGGCGUAGGUGAUGGACAACAGGUUGAUAUUCCUGUACUACCGAUAACCGUUUGAGAGAAGGGAUGACACAGUAGGAUAAGCUAAGCACACUGUUGGUUAUGUGUGCCCAAGCAUUGAGGCAGUCAAAGUAGGCAAAUCCGCUUUGAUAAUGCUGGGAUGUGAUGGGGAGCGAAAUUUAGUAGCGAAGUAGCUGAUUUCACACUGUCAAGAAAAGUCUCUAUCGAGGUUAAAGGUACCCGUACCGCAAACCGACACAGGUGGGUGAGGAGAGUAUCCUAAGGCCAGCGAGAGAACUGUUGUUAAGGAACUCGGCAAAAUGACCCCGUAACUUAGGGAUAAGGGGUGCCACCAUCAGGUGGCCGCAGAGAAUAGGCCCAAGCGACUGUUUACCAAAAACAUAGGUUUCUGCUAAGUCGCAAGACGAUGUAUAGGAGCUGACGCCUGCCCGGUGCUGGAAGGUUAAGGGGAUCUGUUAGAGCAAUCGAAGCAGUGAACUUAAGCCCCAGUAAACGGCGGCCGUAACUAUAACGGUCCUAAGGUAGCGAAAUUCCUUGUCGGGUAAGUUCCGACCCGCACGAAAGGCGUAACGAUUUGGGCACUGUCUCAACAACAGACUCGGUGAAAUUGUAAUUCCGGUGAAGAUGCCGGAUACCUGCGACAGGACGGAAAGACCCCAUGGAGCUUUACUGUAGCUUGACAUUGGGUCUUGGUACUACAUGUACAGGAUAGGUGGGAGGCUUUGAAACCAGGACGCCAGUUUUGGCGGAGCCAUCCUUGGGAUACCACCCUUGUAGUACUGGGACUCUAACCAUAGGCCAUGAAUCUGGUCUUGGGACACUGUCAGGUGGGCAGUUUGACUGGGGCGGUCGCCUCCCAAAAGGUAACGGAGGCGCUCAAAGGUUCUCUCAGUACGGUCGGAAAUCGUACGUAGAGUGUAAAGGCAAAAGAGAGCUUGAUUGCAAGACAUACAGGUCGAGCAAGGAUGAAAAUCGGACUUAGUGAUCCGGUGGUUCUGCGUGGAAGGGCCAUCGCUCAACGGAUAAAAGCUACCCUGGGGAUAACAGGCUUAUCUCCCCCAAGAGUCCACAUCGACGGGGAGGUUUGGCACCUCGAUGUCGGCUCAUCACAUCCUGGGGCUGUAGUAGGUCCCAAGGGUUGGGCUGUUCGCCCAUUAAAGUGGUACGCGAGCUGGGUUCAGAACGUCGUGAGACAGUUCGGUCCCUAUCCGUCGCAGGCGUAGGAAAUUUGAGAAGACCUGUCCUUAGUACGAGAGGACCGGGAUGGACGUACCUCUGGUGUACCAGUUGUUCUGCCAAGGGCAUGGCUGGGUAGCUAUGUACGGAAUGGAUAAGCGCUGAAAGCAUCUAAGCGCGAAGCCAACUUCAAGAUAAGAUUUCCCACCGCAAGGGUAAGACCCCAGAAAGACUAUCUGGUUGAUAGGUCGAAGGUGUAAGUGCA
rnacentral:rRNA from 1 species